UUGUCAUUACAUUAAAGCACCGUUUGGUUCGGGGUAUAAGCGUCAGCCAAAUGUAACGAUAUUUUAGUCUAAUCAAAUAUUGCUAUUCCGGACUAUCUCGAAUAGCUUGGAAUUUACUAUUCUACCAUUUUGGUGGAAUAAUGUUAUUCCAAUGUUUAAUUUCAAACUUAUUAAAAUUAUAAAUUAAAUUAAAAAUAAAUUAUAUAAAUAUAAUAUAUUAUAUAUUAUAAUAUAUUAAUAUAUUAUAAUAUAUUAUUUUUAUUAUAAAAUUAUUAAUUGUACUAUACUAAUACAUAUUACUUAUAUUUAAAUAUUAUAAUAAAUUAUAUUUAAAUAUUAUAAUAAAUUAUUUUUAUUAAAUUUAAGUUUAAGUAAAAAUUUUUUAAAAAAUUAUAAAUUUAUUAAUAAUAAAAAAAUUAUUUUUAUCAAAUUUAUAAAUUUAUUAUUUUAUUAAUUGUUCCACCCUAUUCUUAAUUUAAAUUUCAAAAUUAAUAAUUUAAAUUUUAAAUUUAAAUUUAAAAUUUAAAAUUUUUAAAAUUUAAAUUUUUAAUCUCAAAAUUAAAAUUUAUAAUUUUAAAUUUUAAAAUUUUAAAUUUUAAAUUUGAUUUUUUAAAUUUUAAAAUUUUAUAUUUUGUAUUUUUUAAAUAUAAAUUUGAUCUUAAGUUUAAAGUUUGAAAUUUAAAUUUUAAAAUUUUGAAUUUAAAAGAUUUUUAAUUUUAUAUUAUCUAUCCAAAUGUUAUUUUUCUUAUUCCCGACUCCCGAGAACAAUCAAAUUUUCAUCCAAACUCAAAAUUAGUCUUGUUUUUGUUUAUAUUUGAAUUUAUAUCUAUCCCCAGAAUAGACAAUCUUUACUUAUAUCCGAACUAAACGAUACAUUAGUAUUUAAAAAAAGUUGAUCUGACAAAUAAAUUGAUAUACUGACCGUCCCUAGAGCAAAUGGCAAAGGGAUUGGUGGUUGGUACUCGAGAUCCCAAGUUCAAAUUCUAGUUGAUUCAUAUUUUCAGUUAAGUUUAUUUUUAAAUGAAAUAAAUGAAGCGGGUAGCGUGCUACUUAUCUCUCCCAAAAAAAAAAAAUUUGAGAGAUAAAUGAAUUGAUAUGAAAUAUGAGGCGACUAGUAUAAGUACCGUUUGGUUCGAGAACAACCAAUUUUUGUUUAUUCUUGGGAUAGGUAUAACUUUUGGGAUAGGUAGGAAUUAGUUCAAAUUUGUGUUUGGACGAGAAUCGAGAUAUUUAGAAGAAUAAGAAAAAUUACGUUUGGUUGAUUAGGUUGGGAUAGUAGAGAUAAGAGUAAUUAUAUGAUUGAAAAUAAAACUAAUUUAUCUAAAUAUUAAGCACCUAAGUAUUAGUAAAUAAUAUUUUAAUAAGUUAAUAAAUAAAUUAAUCAAAAUUACAUUAUAAAUUAAUUAAAAUUACUAUAUGAGAUGACAAAGAUGACAUUAAUUAGUAAAUAACUAUAAAAAAUAAGUCGACAUGUUAAUAGUAAUUAAUUAUUUAAUCAUUUUUUUAGUUAAUAUAUUAAUUAUAUAAAUUAAAAUACUAAUUAUUUAAAUAAUAUAAAUAUUAGUAAAUAAUUGAAUAUAUGGCUAACUAUUUAAUUAGAUAAAUAAUAAUAAAUUAUAAAUAUAUUAUUAUUUAAAUAUUUAUUAAUUUAAUAACUUAAAUAAUUAAUUAGUCAAUUAUUAAAAAAUUUAAUUGCAUUAAUUAAUUAUAAUUUAUAAUUAUUUAUAAUUUAAUUCGUAGAGGAAUAAGGUAGAGAAUAGCUUGUUCCACCCAAUAGGUGGAACUACUAUUCUCCCCUCUUAAUGGGUUAUUCUGGAAUAACCCGUUAAGAAGAGAACAGUAGUUCUUGGCGUUAUUUGACACCGUUUGGAAGAAUGAGAGGAAUAAAUUUUUUAUUCUUUCUUUAUCCUUUGAAC
rnacentral:lncRNA from 1 species